CCUCUAACCCUAAUUCAGUGCCGCCUUCCUUCACUCUCAUCUUCCUCACUAUGCGACACACACACACCAUGGGAAAGAAAAGAAAAGAAAGAAAGGAAAAAAAGAGAGACAUAGACCCGAGAGAAAGUAGAGAUCAGAACAGAAGGAAAGGAGGGGGGACUUUGCCGCCGCCGAUCUACCGCCGGGCAGCUGCACGCGAGGAGCCUGGUCCACUGCCGCUGUCUAACAUUCUUCCAUCGUCAUCACAGCCACACGCAAGGAAGCUUUGCCAUCACAAAAACCCAAGAUGGAGAGGAGAGAACGCGAGGAGGAGCCGUUCACAUCGGUUGCUGUGACCUCGCCGUAAGGACCCCUACCGCCGCGCACCGCCAUCGUUUGUGGAGAAGUCACCAUCAAGCCCAAGUCCAAAGGAGAGAGAAAGAGGCUAUCACGAAUUAGAACAGAGAAAAGGGAGAGAACCAUUGCGAAAGGGGAGGGGGAGGACGCUGUCUCACCGUGCGCCGUCGUUGCAGGAGCCGACCUCGUCGUUGCCGCUGCAAUCUCCUCCCCCGGCCGUGGUAGUUUUGGUUCUGUUCUAGCCAUGGUUGUCGAGGAAUACUAUUGAGGUAGUUGAGGUUUUUCUGUCAUCAUCAGAACUGCUACGGAUGUUACUGUCGCUCUGUUUCCCACGAUUUCCCUUAUUACAGGUCGAGUUUCGGGUCUUGCAUGUUGAGUUUUAUGGUUGUCGCAUGUAACACCUAGCUGCUGCGUCGUCAUCGGAGCUCUCUGCCACUGUGCGAAUCGUUGAGAGUUGUCACCAGAGCUGCUAUGGUUCCAUUCUCUUGUUCCUCUAUUACUGUUGUUGGUUGGUGCCUUUGUGGGUGUUGCCGCUGCAAAAUCUAGUUGGGGUUGACGCCGUUGUUUUUGAGCUGAGCGAAAGGAGUUCAAUUGAAGCGUAGGGUUCGGAUUUCGACUAUUUAAGGUAGGGUUUUUCAUAAAAUUUUAUUUCCAUUACAGAGUUGUUAUAAAUAGAUAUUCAGGUAAAAAAUAUAUUUAUGUGAAUACGUUUGUCUUAUGAAUGUGGCUGUUUGCUGGUUUGAAAUACUGAUUGCUGAGAGGUGUGUGGUUGAUGAUGAAAACUUGAUUGGUAAAGUUAUCUGGUUGAAUAUUAUGAAAGGUAGUUUUUCUUGGUUUUGGAGUUAAGUUAAUAAUGUAAAUGAAUCGGUUUUGAGAAUAAUAUGUGAUAUGAAAAUAAAUUAAUUCUGGGAGCGGUUUGAUUUCGAGUUGGUCUGAUUUUAUAAUUGAUUUAAUAUUUGAGCUGGUUUGAUUUUAAAAAGAUUUUUAUUAUUGGAAUUGGUUCGAUUUGGAAAUAAUUUGAUAUUGGAACUAGUUGAAUUUUGGAAAAUGAUUGAGAUUUGGAAAUGGUUGAGAAAAGGUUUGAGAAAUGUUUGGAUGAACCCGAAAAGGGUGGCAGAAUUCGAGUUUUAGAGGAGAUGCUGCCAAAAUUUUAUAAAGCUAGAAGUUUCGUUGGAAGUAGUUAUUUUAAAAAGGUUUAAUUUUAAGCAUUAUAUUGUUUAAGAUUACUUUAUUUAUCAAAAAAAGAAUUAUGUUUUGAAUUGGGAUUGUUAAUGAACGGAAUGGAAAGAAGGAUGAUGAUGAUUUUCUUUGAAAUAUGGUUUCUAAAUGAAUUUGAAAAUGAGAUAUGGAUUGAUGAAUGAUGAUGAUGUUGAGAAUGUUGAACUUAUGAAUUUGGAAAUGAAAUAUGGCUUAUGAAUUUGAAUUAUCUGAGAUACGAGGUUCCCUGGAUAAAGUGUCGUGGCUUGCCACCACGUGUACCAGGUUGAAAACUCGAUACUCUAUUGACCAUAUGACGUAUGUGUGACCGGGCACUAUAUAAAUUCCUGGGAAUGUUACCCCUAUUGAGCAAUAUUGAUUAUUUGAGAAAAAGCUAUGCAUAGACUCUUGGGGAUGCACGUCGGGGGACAGUCUAAGGACAAUUCAGACUUGUCGGGUUGGCUGGAUAACCGACAGAUGAGCCACAUCAGCCAAAGGACAGGCAUGCAUCAUAUGCAUUUGUAUACUUUGCUUGGGUUUGAACUUGUUUUGGUUUGCCUAAUUGUUAAACUGUUCUUAACUACUACCUGAACUAUUUGCUGUAAUUGCUAACUAAACUUGUGCUUUCUUUAUCUGUUUUGCAUGUGUUUGUUCUGGCGUGCUACCUUUGAGAAUGAGCUUUGGUGCUGAAUUGAUGAUUGUGUUGAUUGAUUUUGUGGUUGGUCUCAGAUUAAGAUUUUCUUAUAAAAAGAAAGGGUUUGAAUUUUUGAAAUAUUGAAUAUUGUUUCUUUAAAAAGGUUUUGAACGAUUAGUUAUUGGUUUUAAAAAAAAUUCAUAAGGCAAUGAUAAUCACUGAGCUUGAAAACUGUUUUCUUAUUAAAUAUCUUCUUAUGACAAUUCUGAAACUCUGUGGUAAGACCUUGUGGUUAGGUUCUCACCCCCUACAGCUUUACCUUUUCAGGAAUCAGAUGAAGAACUAUUAUGAAGAGUUAUACUGCAUUUUAGUUUAUAUGAUAUUGUAUUAAUUAUAUUAUUUAUCUUCCCUUGUCUUUGUUAUUACAAUUCUGUAAGAGGGAUAGGAGAUUUGUGUUUUAUAUGUAUAUUAUUUUAUUAGCUAUUAGGUAAGAAAUCUUGUAUAUGAAUCUGUGUUUGGGUUUUUUUAAGAUAAAGUAUUUAUUUUUCGGUUUUCAAUGAAAUUCGCAAUAUGAUGUCGAGUCACAGGCUUCUAUUUUAAUAUUAAGUAUAUAGAGUAGUCGUAAUACUUCUUGCUAUCAGAGUGGCGCAGCCGAAAGUGUGACAGUCUGGUAGUGAAGGUGUUACAAUUAAACCAUCUUCCACUAAAUAUAAUCUUUUCUAACCCCUCAUGAAUCAUCAGCUGAACCAUAGUAGAAGGAAAAGAAACAUUGA